rnacentral:rRNA from 1 species
UCUGGUUGAUCCUGCCAGUAGUGAUAUGCUUGUUUCAAAGAUUAAGCCAUGCAUGUCUAAGUAUAAGCGAACUUAUACAGUGAAACUGCGGAUGGCUCAUUAAAACAGUUUGAAUUUAUUUGAUGAAUGUAUGAGAAUACUACUUGGAUAACCGUAGUAAUUCUAGAGCUAAUACAUGCAACGACGCCCGACCGUUUCACUACGGAAGGGCUGUAUUUAUUGGAUACCAAAACCAUCCUUCCCUCGGGAAGUUUUGUUUGAUGAUUCACAAUAACUGAUCGGAUCGCCACUGUGGUGGCGACAGGUCAUUCAACAUUCUGCCCUAUCAGCUUUCGAUGGUUGUGUAGUGGACAACCAUGGCCAUAACGGGUAACGGAGAAUCAGGGUUCGAUUCCGGAGAAGGAGCUUGAGAAAUGGCUACUACAUCUAAGGAAGGCAGCAGGCGCGCAAAUUACCCAAUCCCGAUUCGGGGAGGUAGUGACAAAAAAUAACAAUACCGGGCCUUUUUGGGCUUGGUAAUUGGAAUGAGGGAGAGUUAAACGGACCAUCGAGUAUCCAUUGGAGGGCAAGUCUGGUGCCAGCAGCUGCGGUAAUACCAGCUCCAAUAGCGUAUAUUAAAGUUGUUGCAGUUAAAAAGCUCGUAGUUGGACUUGUGUGCGCUGUCCGCGGGUGGCCUGCGCCCAAAAGGGCGUUUCGGUUCGGCCCCGGUGGCGCCUUGAAAUCUGCAGCUGGGGGGACGUUGGCCUUAACUGGUCGGCGACCGCACGCCGGCUGCUCGGUUACUGUGAGAAAAUUAGAGUGUUCAAGGCAGGCAUUGGGUGCAAUUGAAUACAUUAGCAUGGAAUAAUAAAAUAUGGCUCCUGCCGUAUUUUGUUGGUUUUGACUGGUGGGAGUAAUGAUUGAUAGGGACGGUUGGGGGUGCUAGUAUUGAGCGGCCAGAGGUGAAAUUCAUGGAUUCGCUCAAGACUAACUUAUGCGAAAGCAUUCACCAAGGACGUCCUCUCUAAUCAAGAACGAAAGUUGGGGGAUCGAAGACGAUCAGAUACCGUCGUAGUCUCAACCAUAAACUAUGUCGACUUGGGAUCGGCGGUAGUUUUUUCAUUAAGACACUGUCGGGACCACGGGAGAAAUCAAAGUGUCUGGACUCUGGGGGAAGUAUGGUCGCAAGGCUGAAACUUGAAGGAAUUGACGGAAGGGCACCACCAGGAGUGGAGCCUGCGGCUUAAUUUGACGCAACACGGGGAAACUUACCAGGUCCAGAGAUGUAGAGGAUUGACAGAUUGAAGCUCUUUCUUGAUCACUUCGGUGGUGGUGCAUGGCCGUUCUUAGUUGGUGGAGUGAUUUGUCCAGUUA